rnacentral:lncRNA from 1 species
AAGAGUCACACAUCUCUCACGUUAAAUCAAAAGUUAGAAAUGAUUGAGCUUAGUGACAAAGGCAUGUUGAAGGCCAAAACAGACCAAAAUCUACGUUUCUUAUGCCAAACAGUUAGCCAAGUUGUGAAUGCAAAGGAAAAGUUCUUGAAGGAAAUUAAAAAGGCUACUUCAGUGAACACAGGAGUGAUAAGAAAGAGAAACAGCCUUGCUGUUGAUGUGGAGAAAGUUUGAGUGGUCUGGAUAGAAGAUCAAAUCACCCACAGCAUUCCCUAAGCCAAGUCCUAAUCCAGACCAAGGCAGUUACUCCGUUCAAUUCAGUGAAGGCUGAGAGAAAUGAGGAAGCUACAGAAGAAAAGUUUGCAGCCAGCAGAGUUUGGUUCUUAAGAUCUAAGGAAAGAAGUAAUGUCCAGAACAGAAAAGUGCAAGGUGAUGCAGCAACUGGUAAGGUAGAAGCUUCAGCAAGUUAUUCAGGUAUAGCUAAGAUAAUUCAUGAAGGUGAACGAAGGUGGCUACACUAAACAACAUAUUUUCAAUGUAGACCAAACAUCCUUCUAUUGGAGGAAAAUGCCAUCUAGGAAUUUAAUAGCUAAAGAUGAAAAAUCAAUGCCUGUUUAAAUCUUCAAAGAACAGUCUGACUCUCUUUUUAGGAGCUAAUGUAGCUGGUGACUUUAAGUUGAAGCCAAUGUUCAUUGACUAUCCUGAAAAUUCUAAGGUCCUUAUUCUCAGCAAACUAUCGCAAGGACAAAAAACCAAACACCACAUGUUCUCACUCAUAAUUGGGAACUGAACAAUGAAACACAUGGACACAGGAAGGGGAACAUCACACACCAGGGACUGUUGUGGUGGGGGCGGGGAGGGAUAGCAUUAGGAGAUGUACCUAAUGCUAAAUGACGAGUUAAUGGGUGCAGCACACCAACAUGGCACAUGUAUGCAUAUGUAACAAACCUGCACGUUGCGCACAUGUACCCUAAAACUUAAAGUAUAAUAAAAAAAAGGAAAUAAGCUCAAUCUACUCUGCCUGUGCUCUAUAAAUAAAAUAACAAAGCUUGGAUGUCAGCACAUUUGUUUACAACAUAGUUUACCAAAUACUUUAAGCCCACUCUUGAGACCUACUGCUCAGAAAAAAAGAUUUCUUUCAAAAUAUCACUGCUCAUUGACAAUGCACCAAGUCACUCACAUAAGAGCUCUGAUGAAGAUGUACAAGGAGAUUAAUUUAAUGCUGUUUUCAUGACUGCUAACACAGCAUCCAUUCUGCAGCCCAUGCUUCAAAGAGUAUUUUCAACUUUCAAGUGUUAUGAUUUAAGAAAUAUAUUUUUAUAUAUUUAUGAAGUAUAGCUGCCAUAGAUGGUGAUUCCUCUGAUAAAUCUGGGCAAAAUAAAUUGUAAACCUAGGAUUCACCAUCCUAGAUGUCAUUAAGAACACUGUUGAUUGAUGGGAGGAGGUCAAAAUAUAAACAUUAAAAGAAAUUUGGAAGAAGUUGAUUCUAACCACCAUGGAUGACCUUGCCGGAUUCAAGAAUUCAAUGGAAGAAGUAACUGCAGAUGUGUUGGAAAUAAUAAAAGAACUAGAAUUAGAAGUGGCGCCUCAAGAAGUGACUACAUUGCUGCAAUCUCAUGACAAAAGUUGAAUGAAUGAGAAGUUGCUUAUAGAUAAGUGAAGUGGUUUCUUGAGAUGGAAUCUACACCUGAUAAAGAUGCUAUGAAUAUUGUUGAACUGGCAACAAAAGAUUUGGACUAUUACAUAAACUUAUUUAAUGAAGCAGAAGCAGAGGCAGUGUUUAAGAAGACUGACUUCAUUUAGAAGUUCUACCAUGUGUAAAAUGCCAUGAAAUAGCAUCAUAAGCUACAGAUACAUUUUUCUGAAGGAAGAGUAAAUUGAUGUGGCCAACUUCCUUGUUGUCCUAUUCUAACAAAUUGCCACAGUCACCCCAACUUACAGCAACCACCCUUCUGGUCAGACAGCAGUCAUCAACAUCAAAGCAAGACCUCCCACCAGCAAAAAGUAUCACUAGUUGAAGGCUCAG